rnacentral:rRNA from 1 species
GUGGGGAAUCUUGCGCAAUGGGCGAAAGCCUGACGCAGCGACGCCGCGUGGGGGAUGAAGCUUCUCGGAGUGUAAACCCCUUUCGACCGGGACGAAUACCUCGCAAGAGGGGUGACGGUACCGGUAUAAGAAGCCCCGGCUAACUACGUGCCAGCAGCCGCGGUAAGACGUAGGGGGCCAGCGUUGGUCGGAAUUACUGGGUGUAAAGGGUUCGUAGGCGGUGUGGCAAGUCGGGAGUGAAAUCUCUGGGCUCAACUCAGGGGCUGCUUCCGAAACUGCUGUGCUGGAGUGUGGGAGAGGCGCGUGGAAUUGCAGGUGUAGCGGUGAAAUGCGUAGAUAUCUGCAGGAACACCCGUGGCGAAAGCGGCGCGCUGGACCACUACUGACGCUGAGGAACGAAAGCUAGGGGAGCAAAC